rnacentral:misc_RNA from 1 species
GGGAAUACACGGAAUUCGAGCUCGCCCACUCUUGGAUCGGAAACCCGUCGGCCUCCGAACGNGUAAGAGCCUAGCAUGUAGAACUGGUUACCUGCAGCCCAAGCUUGCGUACACCAUCAGGGUACGUACUAGUACGUACACCAUCAGGGUACGGCUGCACGUCUAGGGCGCAGUAGUCCAGGGUUUCCUUGAUGAUGUCAUACUUAUCCUGUCCCUUUUUUUUCCACGGCUCGCGGUUGAGGACAAACUCUUCGCGGUCUUUCCAGUGGGGAUCC